AACGAACGCUGGCGGCAGGCUUAACACAUGCAAGUCGAGCGCCCCGCAAGGGGUGCGGCAGGCUGGUGGGUAACGCGUGGGAACGUACCCUUAUCUUCGGGCUACCUCCGGGAAACUGGAAUUAAUACCGAAUGUGCCCUUUUGGGGGAAGGUUUAUCGGGUAAGGAUCGGCCCGCGUGAGAUUUGCUGGUUGGUGGGGUAGACGCGUGCCAAGGCGACGAUCCAUAGCUGGGCUGAGAGGAUGAUAAUCCACGUUGGGGCUGAGACACGGACCAAACUCGUACGCAAGGGAGCAGUGGGGAAUAUAGGACGCUGGGGGCAAGUGUGAUACAGCCAUGCCGGGUAAGUGAUGAAGGGGGUAGGGUUGUAAAGCUCUUUCACCCGAGGAGAUAAUGACGGUAUCCGGAGAAGAAGCCCCGGCUAACUUCGUG
rnacentral:rRNA from 1 species